GGGGAAUAUUGCACAAUGGGGGAAACCCUGAUGCAGCGACGCCGCGUGAGUGAAGAAGUAUUUCGGUCUGUAAAGCUCUAUCAGCAGGGACGAUAAUGACGGUACCUGACUAAGAAGCCCCGGCUAACUACGUGCCAGCAGCCGCGGUAAUACGUAGGGGGCAAGCGUUAUCCGGAUUUACUGGGUGUAAAGGGAGCGUAGGUGGCUGGAUAAGUCAGAUGUGAAAGCCCAGGGCUCAACCCUGGGACUGCAUUUGAAACUAUCUGGCUAGAGUGCAGGAGAGGUAAGUGGAAUUCCUAGUGUAGCGGUGAAAUGCGUAGAUAUUAGGAGGAACACCAGUGGCGAAGGCGGCUUACUGGACUGUAACUGACACUGAGGCUCGAAAGCGUGGGGAGCAAAC
rnacentral:rRNA from 1 species